UUACUACUCCAAGCACAAGACCUGAAAUUUUUGGUGGGAGUGGUCCAGUCAAUUAGACUGACCGAAGUAUGCAACUGGUACUUAAUUUAUCGACCCCAAAAGGAAUGAAAGGCAAACCUGACCUCAGCAGAAUUUGAAC